rnacentral:lncRNA from 1 species
UGCCUUUCAGGGCUGGCCCUGUUAGCCUGGUUCCCAGCUCAGAGCUCUGUAUGCUGAUUUGAAUCACAGUCCUCAGAAGAGCAGAACAUUGGUGCUAGGAAGGAUUAGAGUUCUGAGCCAUCAAACCAGCUUCAAGGUUUUUCUUUUCCCAUUAUUUUGAUGUUUGAUAGCAUGCUUAAAUUAAAUACUUGGAAGAUUACAUUUUGCUAAAUAAUGCUGUGAGCAAACAGUUUCUGCAGUCCAGACAUUCUUUCACCCGAGAACAUUUUCUUUAAAAGGUAGCACGUUUCCUUGGACAGCAGCCAUCCCUGGCAGCAGAUCUCAGCACUCAGUAGGAAACCCAUGCCUUUGAGUUCUGAACUAGCCCAUACUGGAAUUAAAACACAACACUAACAGUCAGAAUCGGUUGUUCUUGGUGGAGGGUCAGAUUCUGCAGCCACCUGAUUCAGUUCCAGAGGGAUGCAGUCUCCACUAGGACACAACUACACCCUCAAAUACAGGCUCUGCAGUAUGUUGAUGUUGAAUGAGUAAAUUAAGGAAUGCAUUAUAGCUGUUAAAGCAAUCUUAAGGGAAAUCUGAGGCUUCCACUGCAGCACCAUGCUUAGUAAGUAAUAAAUUACAUGUUAUACUUAUUUGCCUUAAUUCA